ensembl:lncRNA
UCUUUCUGGUUCUCUCUCUCCUCUUCCACAUUAAAAGAGAUGCUAGGACAAAAAGAAGGUAACUGUGUUAAGGAGUGGAGAGAAGUACACAUUGUACUCCUGAUAAAGAAGCUCAUACAGAGAAGGUGAAAUGCAGCAAAGGGUACCAGUGCCACAUCUAUUGCGGGCCAGGCUGUAUAGCUGGGAAGAUGAACAAGACUUCUCAGGAUGGAGCAUGCCACUCCCCUCCUUGUCUCCAAGACGUCUGAGUUUUGAUGAAAAUACUGAAGAUGCUGCUGACGAUGAACAGUCCUUAUGUUGGAG